rnacentral:rRNA from 1 species
AUCCUACGGGACGCAGCAGUGGGGAAUAUUGCACAAUGGGGGGAACCCUGAUGCAGCGACGCCGCGUGGGUGAAGGAGCACCUCGGUGCGUAAAGCCCUAUCGGCAGGGAAGAAAAGCGAACAGGUUCGCCUGGACGGUACCUGACUAAGAAGCCCCGGCUAACUACGUGCCAGCAGCCGCGGGAAUACGUAGGGGGCAAGCGUUAUCCGGAUUCACUGGGUGUAAAGGGGGCGUAGACGGCGACGCAAGUCUGGAGUGAAAGCACGGGGCCCAACCCCGGAACGGCUCUGGAAACU